rnacentral:misc_RNA from 1 species
CCGUGGGGCUUCGGCCCUGUCGUGAUAGAACCCUUGCCUUUUGAGUACCGUCCGUUUCCUCGGCAGGCCCGCCUGCCAAUGGGGACCCCCCAAUAAACCCUUUUAUGUACCUGUAUCAGUCUGAAAAACAAACAAAAGUUA